AAAACUAACAUGUAACCAAGUUUUGUGACCAACCAAUCUCUAAAAUUUGUAAAUAUAAGUAAAUCAUUUGUUUUCCUUAUUUUUCAAGUUGUGUAAUUGAAAUGGCAGUGUAAAAAAAAAUGUAAAAUUAAACAAAACUAAAUUACCAGAAACAGUAGAAUUUAAUAAAGAACGAGUUCGUCUAUGAUGUGCUUUUUAGGUUCGCACUAAAGUGAAUUUGAUGAUGUAAGUUGAAGUACAGAACGUCGACCGGAGCUCCGGUGGACACGGUCAAUUCCAUCCUACGCCGUCCGACCGUUAUGUACUUUUGAGAGGCUAGGUUUCCGAUUGGGGUUAAAUCGCAUCUGAAUUGGGGCAAAACCGGAGCUCUAUCUGCGGAUACGGUCAGUACUCGUUCCAAGGUUGAGGUUAGCAGUGUGGGACCACCAUCCGAACUCAUCUACUCUUACGAUCCAGUUCAGGGUAGAAGUUUUAUGUAUUACUUCAGUUUCAGUUUUUAUUUACUUUUGACGUUGAACUCUCAGGUUUAUAUUUAGGGAUCCUUGACAUAGGAUUUCUAAGUUGUAAUGGAGUACUGUAUUAAGUAAAGGA